rfam:Glycine soja cultivar W05 scaffold6005_4, whole genome shotgun sequence.
AUAAUCAUUUAAUGUUAGCUUGGUUCAAUUAAAUCAAAGUUUUUAGAGAUUUUGUUGAGUUCUUUAGUCUAAUUGAACCGUGCUAAUUUCAUGUUCAUCC